GGGAUUAGAUACCCCACUAUGCUUAGCCCUAAAUUUAGAUGUGACCCUUACAAACACAUCCGCCAGGGUACUACAAGCGCUAGCUUAAAACCCAAAGGACUUGACGGUGUCUCAGACCCACCUAGAGGAGCCUGUUCUAGAACCGAUAAUCCCCGUUUAACCUCACCACCCCUUGCUUUCCCCGCCUAUAUACCGCCGUCGCAAGCUUACCCUGUGAAGGUAUUACAGUAAGCAAAAUGGAUAUAUUCAAAAACGUCAGGUCGAGGUGUAGCUUACGAGGUGGAAAGAAAUGGGCUACAUUUUCUUUAUCAGAAUAACACGAACGACACCAUGAAACUGAUGUCUGAAGGUGGAUUUAGCAGUAAAAAACAAAUAGAGAGUCUUUUUGAAUUAGGCUCUGAGACGCGCACACACCGCCC
rnacentral:rRNA from 1 species